rnacentral:lncRNA from 1 species
CUAAAUCAAAACCUUAGCCGCAGCAAUAUGGAAGAUAAAACGCCCUAAGGCUCUCCCCUCCAUCUUUCGCCGUUUCAAAUCCCAGAUUCCCCGUCCAAUCCGAUCAGAACAAAGUAGACGAGGAUUCCUACGGCGUGAUAUCACAGGUAAGAUCCUUCUCUUUUUCUUUUUGUAUAGCAAAUAGAAAGAAGCAAAGAAAAAUAAUAGAGAAACGCAGAAAAAAAAAACAAAACAUAAAUGGUGAAUCACCUUCUCAAAACUAAAAAAACUUUGUUUUUGAUUCUUUCUAUUGAUAUUGUGUGAUCGUAUGCGUGGGUUCCCCCCUUCAAAUACAGAAAAAUGGCUUUUUAUAUAGCCGGAUCCAAAAGAAAAAUAAAUCAAAAUUUUUUCUGCCCUCUCUGCUAUUUUUUCGUUUUUGCCUGCUGCUUUGUUCGUUUUGUUUGUUGCAGGCGUACGGAGCAAUGGACGUGGAGGCUCGCGUGGAUUUGGCGCGGAGGCACUACACGCGUGCAGGCGCAACAUGGCGAGGAGGAGGCCUGGCUCUGCUGCGACGCUGGAGGUUCUAGGGUUCCCUGCUGCUGAUUUUCUCUGUUUUGGGCUGCGGGUAUUUGGGCUUGAUUUUGGGUUUAGGUUUAGUAUUUGGGUUAAGGACUGAAUUGGGCUUUGAGUCUGUAAAUGGACAUUUAUUUAUUUUUUUGGGUUUUUGGUUUGAUUUUAAUAUUUAUAAAAACUAGGUUGUUAAUAGUGGAUGUUUUAAUUUAAUUUAUUUUUGGUAUUUAUUGGGCCGGGCAAAAUGGGUUAUUACAACAUAAAUUCAAAAUGAUAUCAUUUAUAAUUAUUUAGUUGGGAUAAAUAAUUAAAUUUUAAAAAUUAGGGUAUUAGCAUUUUUCAAAUUAAAAAAAUAAUUAUGAAAGAAGAAUAAUUAUCUUAAAAAUAAAUAAUAUACUAGAAAUUCAAUAUGGAUAUCAUUGUAUUUGUAAAAAAUUAUAAAUAAACUAUAUAUUAGAGUUAAAUAAAAAAAAUUGAAGUUUAAAUUAUUUUUUAAUCUUAUAAUAGGAUCAUGUGUUCUAAAUGAAAUAAAAUUAGGAGAAAUUUUGAAAACCCACCUGUUUAGGUGGAACUUGAAAAAUAAAAUUGAGCUACUAAAGUUUUCGCAAAUUUUGGAAUUCUUCGAUAUUUUUACCCAAACAAAUAAAUUUAUUUUUAAAAAUUUAACAACUCUAAGAGAAACAAAAUUCCUCUUGUAAAUUCUUCAUUUAAACAUACUUUAAAGGUUGAAAACAUAGGUUUUUAGUGAAUCUGUAAAAAAAAAAAUCAUAAUACAAGAACCUUUUAUACAACUUGAAAAAAACAGUGUUUCGCCAAACAUCAUCAUGAAGAAAAAAGAGGUUACAGCCGCAAACUAUUUAUAGGGACAAGCAAUUGAGAUUUUGAGAUGAAAGAGGGACCACUCUGGAAGAAAGCAAGAUUGUGAUAAUUAUCCAACGUGGGUGGUGGUGUUCUCAAACCCAAAUCAAUGAUUGAUUGUUAUACUUCUUUUAUUAUUAAAUAAAUUGUUUUAAUCUUUAUAUUAUUAAAAAACUAAAUAAAGCUAAUCUAUAAUAGAAAUUUAAAAAAUAUAAGAAUAUUAUUAUUAUUUGCAGUGAAUCCCAAAUAAAAGAUUCUAUUUCUAACAUUAUAUUUUAGCUUUUAAAAAAUAUAUUUUUUAAUAUAAAAAUCUCACCCAC